rnacentral:rRNA from 1 species
GUCGGACUAAUACCGUAUUUUGUCCAUUGACGGCAUCCGAUUUGACGAAAGGCUUGGCGGUGAGGGAUGGGGAUGCGUCCGAUUAGCCAGACGGCGGGGUAACGGCCCACCGUGGCGACGAUCGGUAGGGGUUCUGAGAGGAAGGUCCCCCACACUGGAACUGAGACACGGUCCAGACUCCUACGGGAGGCAGCAGUGAGGAAUAUUGGUCAAUGGGCGUAAGCCUGAACCAGCCAAGUAGCGUGCAGGACGACGGCCCUAUGGGUUGUAAACUGCUUUUAUGCGGGGAUAAAGUGGCCCACGUGUGGGUUUUUGCAGGUACCGCAUGAAUAAGGACCGGCUAAUUCCGUGCCAGCAGCCGCGGUAAUACGGAAGGUCCGGGCGUUAUCCGGAUUUAUUGGGUUUAAAGGGAGCGUAGGCCGCGCCUUAAGCGUGUUGUGAAAUCCGGGUGCUCAACAUCCGGCUUGCAGCGCGAACUGGGGCGCUUGAGUGCGCAGAAAGUAGGCGGAAUUCGUGGUGUAGCGGUGAAAUGCUUAGAUAUCACGAGGAACUCCGAUUGCGAAGGCAGCCUACUGUAGCGCUACUGACGCUGAUGCUCGAAAGCGUGGGUAUCGAACAGGAUUAGAUACCCUGGUAGUCCACGCGGUAAACGAUGGAUGCUCGUUGUCGGCCCUUUGGGUCGGUGACCAAGCGAAAGCGUUAAGCAUCCCACCUGGGGAGUACGCCGGCAACGGUGAAACUCAAAGGAAUUGACGGG